CGGUACCUACGGGACGCAGCAGUGGGGAAUAUUGGGCAAUGGGCGCAAGCCUUACCCAGCAAUACCGCGUGAGUGAAGAAGGUCUUCGGAUUGUAAAGCUCUUUGAUCAGGGACGAACAGAUGACGGUACCUGAAGAACAAGCCCCGGCUAACUACGUGCCAGCAGCCGCGGUAAAACGUAGGGGGCGAGCGUUGUCCGGAAUGACUGGGCGUAAAGGGUGCGUAGGCGGCAUAAUAAGUUAGAAGUGAAAUACCAAG
rnacentral:rRNA from 1 species